rnacentral:rRNA from 1 species
GGGGGUGCCCUAAACCAUGCCAAGUCGGAGAGAAAGGGGUUUCGGCCCCGAGUAAAGUGGCGCACGGGUGAGUAACACGUAGGUAACCUGCCUUUAAGAUUGGGAUAACAUGUCGAAAGACGUGCUAAUACCGGAUAAGACCACGGUUUCUUGGGGGACUGGGGUCAAAGAUAGCCUCUAUUUAUAAGCUAUCGCUUAGAGAUGGGCCUGCGUACCAUUAGCUAGUUGGUAGGGUAACGGCCUACCAAGGCAAAGAUGGUUAGCUGGUCUGAGAGGAUGAUCAGCCACACUGGAACUGAGACACGGUCCAGACUCCUACGGGAGGCAGCAGUGGGGAAUAUUGCGCAAUGGGCGAAAGCCUGACGCAGCAACGCCGCGUGAGUGAUGAAGGCCUUCGGGUCGUAAAGCUCUGUCGGAGGGAACGAAUGCUCUUGGGGUUAACAGCCUUAGGAGGUGACGGUACCCUCAAAGGAAGCACCG